GGAAAUGAGGUGAUUUAAUCGGAUCGGGAUUACGCUUAUAUAAGCUACAAGACGUGUUUUCAUGCGGCGAAUUAAUAAUUCGGAGACGAGAAGAAAAAUGCAGGCUAUCUUGUUUUGUUGUUUGUUUGCGGUUCCGCUUGUUUGGGCCAGGGUUGCGAAAGAACCUUGCGGAGACCCGAAUGCCCAUGUGAUAUGUGCGUCUCCAUGUGUUGCGACAUGUCAAAAUCGCCAAUUUGCUCACUGUUCAGCACAGUGCGAGAAGAAAUGCUUCUGCAAGGAUAAUUACAUAUUGGACGAAGAGAGCGGACGGUGUGUCCUCGUUAGAAAUUGCCCUCGUUACUAAGUUUGUAGUUUUUAAUAUUCAUUUUUCUGUUGUUAUCAUAAUAAAAUCGAUAUUUUAAGAAA